ACGAACGCUGGCGGCAUGCCUAACACAUGCAAGUCGAACGUGACCUUCGGGUCUAGUGGCGCACGGGUGCGUAACGCGUGGGAACCUGCCCUUAGGUUCGGAAUAACUCCCCGAAAGGGGUGCUAAUACCGGAUAAUGUCUUCGGACCAAAGAUUUAUCGCCUUUGGAUGGGCCCGCGUUGGAUUAGCUAGUUGGUAGGGUAAAAGCCUACCAAGGCGACGAUCCAUAGCUGGUCUGAGAGGAUGAUCAGCCACACUGGGACUGAGACACGGCCCAGACUCCUACGGGAGGCAGCAGUGGGGAAUAUUGGACAAUGGGCGAAAGCCUGAUCCAGCAAUGCCGCGUGAGUGAUGAAGGCCUUAGGGUUGUAAAGCUCUUUUACCCGGGAUGAUAAUGACAGUACCGGGAGAAUAAGCUCCGGCUAACUCCGUG
rnacentral:rRNA from 1 species